rnacentral:rRNA from 1 species
UACGUAGGGGGCAAGCGUUGUCCGGAAUCAUUGGGCGUAAAGCGCGCGUAGGCGGCCAGAUUAGUCCGGUGUGAAAGUCAGAGGCUCAACCUUUGAAUGCCGCUGGAAACUGUCUGGCUUGAGUCCGGAAGGGGCGAGUGGAAUUCCUGGUGUAGCGGUGAAAUGCGCAGAUAUCAGGAGGAACACCAAUGGCGAAGGCAGCUCGCUGGAACGGUACAGACGCUGAGGCGCGAAAGCGUGGGGAGCAAACAGG